rnacentral:tRNA from 1 species
GCCUGGGUGGCUCAGUGGGUUAAGCGUCUGACUCUUGAUUUUGGCUCAGGUCAUGCUCUCACAGUUUCGUGGGUUCUAGCCCUACACCAGGCU